UCGGGAAUUUUGGGCAAUGGGCGAAAGCCUGACGCAGCGACGCCGCGUGGGUGAUGAAGGCCUUCGGGUCGUAAAGCCCUGUCGGGAGGGAAGAAACAGUCUGGACCUAAUACGUCCGGGAAUUGACGGUACCUCCUAAGGAAGCACCGGCUAACUCCGUGCCAGCAGCCGCGGUAAUACGGAGGGUGCAAACGUUGUUCGGAAUCAUUGGGCGUAAAGGGCGCGUAGGCGGCCGCGAAGGUCGGAUGUGAAAUCCCAGGGCUCAACCUUGGAAUUGCGUUCGAAACCGUGCGGCUUGAAUCCCGGAGGGAGAAGUGGAAUUCCUGGUGUAGGGGUGAAAUCCGUAGAUAUCAGGAGGAACACCGGUGGCGAAGGCGGCUUCUUGGCCGAGGAUUGACGCUGAGGCGCGAAAGCGUGGGUAGCAAACAGGAUUAGAUACCCGCGUAGUCCCUGAGCGGGCUGGCAAGGCGCAU
rnacentral:rRNA from 1 species